rnacentral:rRNA from 1 species
UACGUAGGGUGCGAGCGUUAAUCGGAAUUACUGGGCGUAAAGCGUGCGCAGGCGGUUGGUUAAGUCUGAUGUGAAAGCCCCGAGCUCAACUUGGGAAUGGCAUUGGAAACUGGCUGGCUAGAGUGUGGCAGAGGGGGGUGGAAUUCCACGUGUAGCAGUGAAAUGCGUAGAUAUGUGGAGGAACAUCGAUGGCGAAGGCGGCCCCCUGGGUUAACACUGACGCUCAUGCACGAAAGCGUGGGGAGCAAACAGG